GAUGAACGCUGACAGAAUGCUUAACACAUGCAAGUCUUUGGUGAAGCUGUGCUUGCACAGCCUAGCCAAGGCGGACGGGUGAGUAACGCGUAAGGAACUUGCCCUGCAGUCAGGGAUAACAGACGGAAACGACUGAUAAGACCUGGUAAAGUCAGGCGGACUCAUGUCCAGCCUGAUGAAAAGAGAUGCUGCAGGAGAGCCUUGCGUCCUAUUAGCUUGUUGGUGGGGUAACGGCCCACCAAGGCAAUGAUAGGUAGCCGGCCUGAGAGGGUGGACGGCCACAAGGGGACUGAGAUACGGCCCUUACUCCUACGGGAGGCAGCAGUGGGGAAUAUUGGACAAUGGGGGCAACCCUGAUCCAGCAAUUCUGUGUGCACGAUGAAGGUUUUCGGAUUGUAAAGUGCUUUCAGCAGGGAAGAAAAAAAUGACGGUACCUGCAGAAGAAGCGACGGCUAAAUAUGUG
rnacentral:rRNA from 1 species